CCUAUUCUCGAUUACUUGUUUC
rnacentral:miRNA from 1 species